ACGGAAGGCAGCAUUGAGGAAUAUUGGUCAAUGGGCGGAAGCCUGAACCAGCCAAGUCGCGUGAAGGAUGAAGGUAUUAUGUAUUGUAAACUUCUUUAGACGCAGAGAAAUAAGCGGGACGUGUCCCGCGAUGCUAGUAUGCGUAGAAUAAGGAUCGGCUAACUCCGUGCCAGCAGCCGCGGUAAUACGGAGGAUCCGAGCGUUAUCCGGAUUUAUUGGGUUUAAAGGGUGCGCAGGCGGUCGAUUAAGUCAGUGGUCAAAUCACGGUGCUCAACGCCGUUCCGCCAUUGAUACUGGUUGACUUGAUUCCGGUCGAGGCAGGCGGAAUUCGUAGUGUAGCGGUGAAAUGCAUAGAUAUUACGAAGAACUCCAAUUGCGUAGGCAGCUUACCAGGCCGGCAAUGACGCUCAUGCACGAAAGUGCGGGGAUCGAACAGGAUUAGAUACCCUGGUA
rnacentral:rRNA from 1 species